CCUUUGCACUUGGAUGCUGCUGAAACACCCUCCUUCCCAGCUCCCUUCCACAUGGGGUACCAGCUGGCCUUGGGCAGAAAAUCUGAGGAGCAGUCACUUCUGGCUGGCGGGAAGAGGUGAACUUGGCAUUUCUGGAGCCCUUCUUGGAGCUCACUUCAAAGACAGAUCAGGCUGCCCUGAAACAUCAGGCCAGAUAUAAAGCAGCCUCUCACUGACAGAGAUGGGCUGCUGCUGUAAGUCUCAGAGGUGGAUUCGAAUCUCUCCAAUCCUGUGGAUGAAUCUGCCUCUCUUUGUGUUAGAGGAGGAAGUGCCCUCUAGUUAUUUAAAAGCUUGCUGAGCAUCAGGUCAGUGAGCAGGCUCCCCGUGGAGGGCAGUGCUGCUAGCUGUCAUACUGCACCACCAGAAACUGGAUCUCCAGAAGCUCAGGAACGGCUUAAAAUGGGCGCAAACUGUCUUUGCUGGACUAAGCACUUUUGCUCCCAGAGUGCACUGUUGGUUGCUUUUCACAGUAGCCUUCCUUCACUGGAUUCUGUACAUUACGUGACUGGUGAACGGUCUUUUCUUUCUUCCUCCAGUGAAGAGACUUCACUCCAGCUUACUAACUUUCUCCACACAGAGGGAUGCUGGGUGUUACCCAGACUGAGCCAACCCAAGAAACUGGCCUCCUGGUUCUGCUGCUGUAACUAAUUUCUAGGCCACGUGUAUUUGUCAUCUGAUGCUUAGGUCAGGACCCAUGCUGGGCUCAGGAGAGAAAUAGCUAGUAUCAGAUUUUAGCUGUCUGCUAAGUGGUGUGCACAGGGGAGUACAAAAGGGCAGAAAUCACAUCUAGAGACUAUUCUGCACCAGUGCUUAACAGCUACAGGGCUUGGUUUGGCUUCUAGACAGCUACAAUCCCAGUGCGGCUUGGCUUACUGGGCUGUGAACAAAACUUGCUGAUGGCAGCUUACCUAAUGAUGAAUGGGAUCCCCUGAGUAGAUGUUGGCAGGAGGGUUAUGGGGGUCCUCUGCAGCAUUCCCAGAAGAGUCUUUUGGUGGGAUGCUACCUUUGUCUAGCAAGGUAACGCUGCGACUGGGAAUGCAAAUGGGGAGACUGGUCCUCACAGAAGGGACAAGAAAUCCUAUGCCAGACAUCUGUGAGAGGUUGAAGCCUGAAGAUUUAGAUCUAUUUCAGAUUGACUGUCCUACCCAAUGAUGAACGAUCUAUUAUCCAUCAAAAUGUCUCCUCCUUCCUGAAUCCUACAUACAGCAUCUGCAGCACCUUGUAGCAGCAAGUUCUGUAUGUCACUAUGCACUGCAUGGGAAAAUACUUCUACCACCAAAGUGUUACCUUUUGCUUUUUCCUGACUGCAAUCCAGUUCCUCCAGUAAAAAAAGUAAUGUAGAAAAGA